rnacentral:rRNA from 1 species
CUACGGGGGGCUGCAGUGAGGAAUAUUGCACAAUGGGGGGAACCCUGAUGCAGCAACGCCGCGUGGAGGAUGACGCAUUUCGGUGUGUAAACUCCUUUUAUAUGUCAAGAAAAUGACGGUAGCAUAUGAAUAAGCACCGGCUAACUCCGUGCCAGCAGCCGCGGUAAUACGGAGGGUGCAAGCGUUACUCGGAAUCACUGGGCGUAAAGGACGCGUAGGCGGGUUGGAAAGUCAGGUGUGAAAUCCUACAGCUUAACUGUAGAACUGCACUUGAAACUUCUAAUCUAGAGUAUGGGAGGGGGAGAUAGAAUUAGUGGUGUAGGGGUAAAAUCCGUAGAUAUCACUAGGAAUACCGAAAGCGAAGGCGAUCUCCUGGAACAUUACUGCCGCUAAGGCGUGAAAGCGUGGGGAGCAAACAGGAUUAGAUACCCUCGUAGUC